AGUGAACGCUGGCGGUAGGCCUAACACAUGCAAGUCGAACGGCAGCACAGUAAGAGCUUGCUCUUACGGGUGGCGAGUGGCGGACGGGUGAGGAAUACAUCGGAAUCUACUUUUUCGUGGGGGAUAACGUAGGGAAACUUACGCUAAUACCGCAUACGACCUACGGGUGAAAGCAGGGGAUCUUCGGACCUUGCGCGAUUGAAUGAGCCGAUGUCGGAUUAGCUAGUUGGCGGGGUAGAGGCCCACCAAGGCAACGAUCCGUAGCUGGUCUGAGAGGAUGAUCAGCCACACUGGAACUGAGACACGGUCCAGACUCCUACGGGAGGCAGCAGUGGGGAAUAUUGGACAAUGGGCGCAAGCCUGAUCCAGCCAUACCGCGUGGGUGAAGAAGGCCUUCGGGUUGUAAAGCCCUUUUGUUGGGAAAGAAAAGCAGCAGGUUAAUACCCCGCUGUUCUGACGGUACCCAAAGAAUAAGCACCGGCUAACUUCGUG
rnacentral:rRNA from 1 species